AUGAACGCUAGCUACAGGCUUAACACAUGCAAGUCGAGGGGCAGCAUGGUCUUAGCUUGCUAAGGCCGAUGGCGACCGGCGCACGGGUGAGUAACACGUAUCCAACCUGCCGUCUACUCUUGGACAGCCUUCUGAAAGGAAGAUUAAUACAAGAUGGCAUCAUGAGUCCACAUGUUCACAUGAUUAAAGGUAUUCCGGUAGACGAUGGGGAUGCGUUCCAUUAGAUAGUAGGCGGGGUAACGGCCCACCUAGUCUUCGAUGGAUAGGGGUUCUGAGAGGAAGGUCCCCCACAUUGGAACUGAGACACGGUCCAAACUCCUACGGGAGGCAGCAGUGAGGAAUAUUGGUCAAUGGGCGAGAGCCUGAACCAGCCAAGUAGCGUGAAGGAUGACUGCCCUAUGGGUUGUAAACUUCUUUUAUAAAGGAAUAAAGUCGGGUAUGCAUACCCGUUUGCAUGUACUUUAUGAAUAAGGAUCGGCUAACUCCGUGCCAGCAGCCGCGGUAAUACGGAGGAUCCGAGCGUUAUCCGGAUUUAUUGGGUUUAAAGGGAGCGUAGAUGGAUGUUUAAGUCAGUUGUGAAAGUUUGCGGCUCAACCGUAAAAUUGCAGUUGAUACUGGAUAUCUUGAGUGCAGUUGAGGCAGGCGGAAUUCGUGGUGUAGCGGUGAAAUGCUUAGAUAUCACGAAGAACUCCGAUUGCGAAGGCAGCCUGCUAAGCUGCAACUGACAUUGAGGCUCGAAAGUGUGGGUAUCAAACAGGAUUAGAUACCCUGGUAGUCCACACAGUAAACGAUGAAUACUCGCUGUUUGCGAUAUACUGCAAGCGGCCAAGCGAAAGCGUUAAGUAUUCCACCUGGGGAGUACGCCGGCAACGGUGAAACUCAAAGGAAUUGACGGGGGCCCGCACAAGCGGAGGAACAUGUGGUUUAAUUCGAUGAUACGCGAGGAACCUUACCCGGGCUUAAAUUGCAGAUGAAUUACGGUGAAAGCCGUAAGCCGCAAGGCAUCUGUGAAGGUGCUGCAUGGUUGUCGUCAGCUCGUGCCGUGAGGUGUCGGCUUAAGUGCCAUAACGAGCGCAACCCUUGUUGUCAGUUACUAACAGGUUCCGCUGAGGACUCUGACAAGACUGCCAUCGUAAGAUGUGAGGAAGGUGGGGAUGACGUCAAAUCAGCACGGCCCUUACGUCCGGGGCUACACACGUGUUACAAUGGGGGGUACAGAGGGCCGCUACCACGCGAGUGGAUGCCAAUCCCAAAAACCUCUCUCAGUUCGGACUGGAGUCUGCAACCCGACUCCACGAAGCUGGAUUCGCUAGUAAUCGCGCAUCAGCCACGGCGCGGUGAAUACGUUCCCGGGCCUUGUACACACCGCCCGUCAAGCCAUGGGAGCCGGGGGUACCUGAAGUGCGUAACCGCGAGGAGCGCCCUAGGGUAAAACUGGUGACUGGGGCU
rnacentral:rRNA from 1 species